AAGUCGUAACAAGGUUUCCGUAGGUGCGGAAGGAUCAUUAACACGUAUCCAACGUUAAACAACCCUGAACUUUCAACCGCUCUUGUAGCCCACGCGGAACAGCAAUCCCGGUAAAUCAAUUGGAGAAAAGGUUUUGAUUCGGGACCUCUGUCCAUCAGGCUACAAUCGAGCUAGGAGCAGUGGCAUGGUUUCUAAGGAUAACGCCUCACGGUUGCCAGAGGUCGAUCACCGGCCGGCAGACAUGUCACAGGGCUAUAUGCCCCCUCAUUCACACCUUGCCCUAUCUGGCCCCACGGAAACGUUGGGGCACAAACCGAACGUUCACAAUGGAUAUCUUGGUUCUC
rnacentral:misc_RNA from 1 species